GUGACAUGAGCUGCUCGGACCGUGGUGGGAGGGACUCGGAAAUGGUUAGCCCAGCCGCAAGGUUCUGGGCCAGGCCUGUCUGUAGGAGCAUCUCACCUGGCGCUGCCAGGGCUGAGGAACAAGGCUGCAAGGUGAUGAAUGCUGUGAGAGUCAAGCGCCUGCCUUCAGUGUCUGGGGACCGUCUGUGCUUUGAGGACAAUCAGUCCCAGCCCUGCUUGGCAGGCAGGUGGAUUUGUGUUCGGCCUGAGGGUGGCCAUUUAAGGCAGGUUUCACUGUACAUGGUUGAGACAUGUAGACAGCAUGUCAAUUCAGCAGAAGCUCCUUUGCCUAGGUACAGCGGAUCUAUAGACACAGGCUGAACAGGGGACAGCUUUAUUAGACAGUGUGGAUGUGAGCUGAGGUGAAAGGAUGGCACAUCCCUCUCUCCAAGUGGGCAGGCCUGGAAUAAUUCUUGUUUGGGGACCAGCAGUGGCGCAUGAGCAAGCUGUAUUGCACACCCACUGGGGCUCUAGCUAAUCUAGUAUCUGUUUCUCCAGCCAGCACUCAGCACUGCAGGAUCUGCUGCUCGGUGCCACGUCACACUUGGGCAGGGCAUUCCAGCGCUGCCCAAAGCCAACAGCCUAUGCAUCUAAUCGCAGGUGGCAGUCACGCCAGCCUACAGAUAUGCAGCAUGAUGUGGGCAGAUCCCUGCUAAAAACCAGGACUUAAAGUUAAGCUUUCCUCAGCUGGGGCCUUAAGGAUGACUCAAGAUGCCAGGCAAUGGGACUACUCUCAGAAGUAAGAGCUGCAGAUCCAGGACCACAGACUAUGGGGAGGAAGGUCCAGGCUGUGCUCCUGCAAGGAAUCCUGGGUCGCCGGGGAUGAGGACACCACACUCUCCACGGGCUCCUGCUUCACUGGAACUGGAUUGAACCGUCCGGGAGUCAUUAGUUGCCCAUUCCCUAUAGGAGACAGAGACCAAAGAGAAACAUGAAAAAUACACAAAUUAGUGUCAGAAAGAGGCGAUGGAGGCAAAUAAAUGAAUUAAACCACCACCACCAAAUAAUGGGAGAGAAGAAAAAAACCAAGUGGGGGGAAGGGAAGCACGCGGGUUGCUGGUCAGCGUUUAUCGCUGGGCUGACUUGAUGGGUUCUGACGUCCACCCCAGCAUGGAAAUUCUUCAAGUGAUAAUUAUUGCAAAAUUAUGUCAAAGUUGUCCAGGCUACGGGCCCUUUAAAGGAGAAGAGUGGAAGGAGCGUGGGGGAGACCUGAUUCUCUGCACAAACUGUCAUAACUAAUUUGCGGUGCUGCCUCUUAAGCGUUUAUUAAAGACUCUGUUAAUGCUGAGGCAAUGUGGCAGCUUUCGACUGCUAGUCAAGCCCCCUUUCCAUUCCCCAAUCUCGCCGUUGCCUUAGCGACCGCUCCGGCCCUCCACUGAGCAUGCCCAGAAGGAACAUCUGCUGUGUCAGGUCUAUUGAAGCUGACAGCCAAUCAGAUUGGUUCAAACUGCGUGACCUCUCUCCCAUCAAGUUGUCCAGACGAGAAGGGGAAAUAUAUAUAUAUUUUAAAUGAGAAAAAUACAAAAUAUAUAAUUUUUAGAUGAAGGGAAUGAAAAAAAAGGAGGAUGGAAAAAAGAAAAAAAUGGUGGGAAAGAAGUAAGAAAGAAAAAAAUGAAGAGGAGGCUAAAGAAACGGGGGGAAAAGUUGCUGACAGGAACAUGGCCGCUGAGCUUUUUUCCACAAUCCCCAAGUGACUAAAAUAUUAAUUUACCCUCAGGCACUACAGCUGAUGGUGAGCUGUUUCACAGACAGCAAGUGGCAUUUUAUUAAAAAAUAAAGGAAAAUAGUUCUCUCAAUGA